UACAGAGGGUGCGAGCGUUAAUCGGAAUUACUGGGCGUAAAGCGCACGUAGGCGGCUUGGUAUGUCGGGUGUGAAAUCCCCGGGCUCAACCUGGGAACUGCAUUUGUGACUGCAUCGCUAGAGUACGGCAGAGGGGGAUGGAAUUCCGCGUGUAGCAGUGAAAUGCGUAGAUAUGCGGAGGAACACCGAUGGCGAAGGCAAUCCCCUGGGCCUGUACUGACGCUCAUGCACGAAAGCGUGGGGAGCAAACAGG
rnacentral:rRNA from 1 species